CAGCCGCCGCGGUAAUACGAAGGGUGCAAGCGUUAAUCGGAAUUACUGGGCGUAAAGCGUGCGUAGGCGGUGAGUUAAGUCUGCUGUGAAAUCCCCGGGCUCAACCUGGGAAUGGCAGUGGAUACUGGCUCGCUAGAGUGUGUCAGAGGAUGGUGGAAUUCCCGGUGUAGCGGUGAAGUGCGUAGAGAUCGGGAGGAACAUCAGUGGCGAAGGCGGCCAUCUGGGACAACACUGACGCUGAGGCACGAAAGCGUGGGGAGCAAACAGGAUUAGAUACCCGUGUAGUCCCUGUCUCUUAUAC
rnacentral:rRNA from 1 species